rnacentral:RNase_P_RNA from 1 species
UCAGCAAGCCGGAUGGCCGCUCCGCUCUAUGUUUCGCGUAUCGGGCGGGGAGGAAAGUCCGGGCUCCAUGGAAGCACGGUGCCGGAUAACCUCCGGCGGGGGGGUGACCCCAGGGACAGUGCCACAGAAAGCAAACCGCCCCGCCAGUUUGCAGGCGGGGUAAGGGUGAAAGGGUGCGGUAAGAGCGCACCGCGUUCUUGGCAACAAGGACGGCACGGCAAACCCCACCGGGAGCAAGACCGAAUAGGGGCGGCGCGGGAGCGGGAGACCGCUGCCAGUCGGCUUUCAGAUCAGCCGCCCGGGUUGGUUGCAUGAGGCGCGCCGCAAGGCGCACCCGAGAUGAAUGGCCAUCGCCCCGUCUCGCUUCGGCGAGCGGGGUACAGAACCCGGCUUACAGGCUUGGUGACACG